rnacentral:rRNA from 1 species
UAGCUACGGGAGGCAGCAGUGGGGAAUCUUGCACAAUGGACGAAAGUCUGAUGCAGCAAUUUCGCGUGAAGGAUGAAGCAUUACGGUGUGUAAAGCUCUGUUAAUCGGGACGAAAGGUCCUCUUGCGAAUAGUUAGAGGAAUUGACGGUACCGGAAUAGAAAGCCACGGCUAACUACGUGCCAGCAGCCGCGGUAAUGCUA